rnacentral:rRNA from 1 species
AUUGAACGCUGGCGGCAGGCCUAACACAUGCAAGUCGGACGGUAGCACAGAGAGCUUGCUCUCGGGUGACGAGUGGCGGACGGGUGAGUAAUGUCUGGGAAACUGCCCGAUGGAGGGGGAUAACUACUGGAAACGGUAGCUAAUACCGCAUAACGUCUUCGGACCAAAGUGGGGGACCUUCGGGCCUCACACCAUCGGAUGUGCCCAGAUGGGAUUAGCUAGUAGGUGGGGUAAUGGCUCACCUAGGCGACGAUCCCUAGCUGGUCUGAGAGGAUAACCAGCCAGACGGGAGCUGAGACACGGUGCAGGAUCCUACGGGAGGCAGCAGUGGGGAAUAUUGCACAAUGGGCGCAAGCCUGAUGCAGCCAUGCCGCGUGUAUGAAGAAGGCCUUCGGGUUGUAAAGUACUUUCAGCGGGGAGGAAGGCGAUGAGGUUAAUAACCGCAUCGAUUGACGUUACCCGCAGAAGAAGCACCGGCUAACUCCGUGCCAGCCGCCGCGGUAA